UACGGAGGAUCCAGGCGUUAUCCGGAUUUAUUGGGUUUAAAGGGUGCGUAGGCGGCUUAUUAAGUCAGGGGUGAAAGACGGUGGCUCAACCAUCGCAGUGCCUUUGAUACUGAUGAGCUUGAAUACACUUGUGGUAGGCGGAAUGUGACAAGUAGCGGUGAAAUGCAUAGAUAUGUCACAGAACACCAAUUGCGAAGGCAGCUUACUAAGGUGCAAUUGACGCUGAGGCACGAAAGCGUGGGGAUCAAACAGG
rnacentral:rRNA from 1 species